rnacentral:rRNA from 1 species
UACGGGGGGGGCAAGCGUUGUUCGGAAUUACUGGGCGUAAAGGGCUCGUAGGCGGCCAACUAAGUCCGACGUGAAAUCCCCAGGCUUAACCUGGGAACUGCGUCGGAUACUGGAUGGCUUGAAUCCGGGAGAGGGAUGCGGAAUUCCAGGUGUAGCGGUGAAAUGCGUAGAUAUCUGGAGGAACACCGGUGGCGAAGGCGGCAUCCUGGACCGGUAUUGACGCUGAUGCGCGAAAGCCAGGGGAGCAAACGGG